AGAAACUUAGGUUACCCUAAACCGAAGGCCUUCAAAGCCUUAAACAAGAGCUAACUCCUCUUAGUUUCUG
rnacentral:tRNA from 1 species